rnacentral:rRNA from 1 species
UGAGGAAUAUUGGUCAAUGGGCGGAAGCCUGAACCAGCCAUGCCGCGUGAAGGAAUAAGGCCCUAUGGGUCGUAAACUUCUUUUGGCGGGGAGCAAUAAGGUCUACGUGUAGACCGAUGAGAGUACUCGUUGAAUAAGCAUCGGCUAACUCCGUGCCAGCAGCCGCGGUAAUACGGAGGAUGCGAGCGUUAUCCGGAUUUAUUGGGUUUAAAGGGUGCGUAGGCUGUUUGUCAAGUCAGAGGUGAAAGGCCGCAGCUCAACUGUGGAAUUGCCUUUGAUACUGGCAGGCUUGAAUACUGUUGCCGUGGGAGGAAUGAGUAGUGUAGCGGUGAAAUGCAUAGAUAUUACUCAGAACACCGAUUGCGAAGGCAUCUCACGAAGCAGAGAUUGACGCUGAGGCACGAAAGCGUGGGGAUCAAACAGG